rnacentral:rRNA from 1 species
GGGGGCAAGCGUUAUCCGGAUUUACUGGGCGUAAAGGGAGCGUAGACGGUUCUGCAAGUCUGGAGUGAAAGCCCGGGGCUCAACCCCGGGACUGCUUUGGAAACUGUGGAACUGGAGUGCAGGAGAGGUAAGUGGAAUUCCUAGUGUAGCGGUGAAAUGCGUAGGUAUUAGGAGGAACACCAGCGGCGAAGGCGGCUUACUGGACUGUAACUGACGUUGAGGCUCGAAAGCGUGGGGAGC